rnacentral:rRNA from 1 species
GAUGAACGCUGGCGGCGUGCCUAAUACAUGCAAGUCGAGCGAACGGACGAGAAGCUUGCUUCUCUGAUGUUAGCGGCGGACGGGUGAGUAACACGUGGAUAACCUACCUAUAAGACUGGGAUAACUUCGGGAAACCGGAGCUAAUACCGGAUGAUAUUUUGAACCGCAUGGUUCAAAAGUGAAAGACGGUCUUGCUGUCACUUAUAGAUGGAUCCGCGCUGCAUUAGCUAGUUGGUAAGGUAACGGCUUACCAAGGCAACGAUGCAUAGCCGACCUGAGAGGGGGCUCGGCCACCCUGGAACUGGGACACGGCCCGGACCCCUACGGGAGGCAGCAGUGGGGAAUUUUCCGCAAUGGGCGAAACCCUGAAGGAGCAACGCCCGGUGGGUGAAGAAGGUUUUCGGAUCGUAAAACUCUUUUAUUGGGGAAAAACAUAUGUGUAAGUAACUGUGCACCUCUUGACGGUACCUAAUCAGAAAGCCACGGCUAACUACGU